CCCAAAGUUAUCUCAUUGUUUCUUUUCUGUUUUCUUCUAGGAACACUGGAGCCAGAAAAAGAUAAAGUCCGAAUAUCAGAACAGGUUCCUGCAGGUAUGAUGACUUUUACUGUAUUCUCUGACAAUGAAGUAACUGAAAAUGACUGAUAUCUUGAUUUCCAUGGGUUAUCUACAAUCAACUAUUAAAAAUACAUUAAAUGUGCUGCUGAGGAUGUAGACCAGCCAGAGCCUGAAGACCAGGACCAGCAUGGACCUCUUCUCCAGGAGGCAGCACCACACCAUGGCAGCCAGGUUCACCAUCCUGGUUGAGAUGGGGGUGCUACAGCCCGAGAGUGGAGCAACACCAGAGGCUGAGACCCAGUAGCAUGGCCCCUUCAUGCCCAGCAGCCCCUGCAGUCUGCAGCCCAGCUUGUAAGUUAAAAUAUUGAAACAUUAAUUACUAAUUAUAAAUUCAAGU